AUUGAACGCUGGCGGCAUGCCUUACACAUGCAAGUCGAACGGCAGCACGGGAGCAAUCCUGGUGGCGAGUGGCGAACGGGUGAGUAAAGCAUCGGAACGUGCCCAGUCGUGGGGGAUAACGUAGCGAAAGCUACGCUAAUACCGCAUACGAUCUGUGGAUGAAAGCGGGGGACCGUAAGGCCUCGCGCGAUUGGAGCGGCCGAUGUCAGAUUAGGUAGUUGGUGAGGUAAAGGCUCACCAAGCCGACGAUCUGUAGCUGGUCUGAGAGGACGACCAGCCACACGGGGACUGAGACACGGCCCAGACUCCUACGGGAGGCAGCAGUGGGGAAUUUUGGACAAUGGGCGCAAGCCUGAUCCAGCAAUGCCGCGUGCAGGAUGAAGGCCUUCGGGUUGUAAACUGCUUUUGUACGGAGCGAAAGGGCUUCCACUAAUACUGGGGGCUCAUGACGGUACCGUAAGAAUAAGCACCGGCUAACUACGUGCCAGCCGCCGCAGUAACAC
rnacentral:rRNA from 1 species